AAUUUUAAGAACUUUACUUAAUUUUUUACGUUAAUAUUUAAUGAAAAUUAAAAAAUUCAUGAUUUGUAAGUAUUAAGUAACAUAGCGAACAAAGGCGAAAUAAUUGAAGAUGGUUUUUCAUAUUAUGUUGAAAAAACGAUAAAUGAUAAGAAAUAUGUUUACUGUAAAAAAAGAAAGUCAAAAAAUUGUCCUGUCCGGGGUACAAAAACUCUGGAUGAGCCCAUCAAAUUCACAGUGAGCACGCACCGACAUGCAUUGGAUUUUUAUAGCGAUGAUGUAAAACGUUUUCGGCGUGAAUUAAUAGCUGCUGCUGAGAAGAACUUGUAUCCAAUUAACGAAAUUUAUGCGACAAUUGCUAAAUCAUAUGUAUCUUGAAGAUGUUACAAUUCAAUUGCCAUAUGCAGUUAUUAGUACUGUGAUGCGUCAACAUCAAAAGGAAGCUGCAGACGAUUUAACGGAGUUACUGACUUACAAGGAUUUUGUA